GAGAUGCAGGACUGGAUGAGUGGGGGCUGUACACUCUGCUUUGUUUCAAAACAGAAAUUUCUUUAUUAUUUAAAUCACAAAUCGAUAAUGUUAGCUUUAAAAAUGCAGAUAUAGAAACUAUUAAACAAUAGUGAAAAAAGUAUCAGAGCACAUAACUACUCAACAUUUUCUCUAUGCCCUUACAGAUUUUUUUCUAACACAGACAUACACAACACUUUUACAUAAAUGGAGCAUACUUUUUAGUAACCUGCUUUUUCCACUUACUACAUCUUGACUGGUUUUCCAGCCUUGAUGGCACCAGCAACUCAUCAGCUUUAUAGGUUUCAUCAAGGCUCAAAAGAGAAUAACAUUGCUGAUGGUGAUGAUGAUGAUGAGGGGCUCACCUGGACCAGGCUGCCUAUUUCAAGCAAUACUUUAUGUGCAUUCAUUCAGUUGGUUUUUAAAACAGUCACAGGAGAAAGGGACAAGAAGAGGAGGCUCAGAGAGGUUAAAUAACUUCCCAAGGCCACUGGGUAAGAAACCGUGGGAUCUGAAUGCAGCUGAGGCUGUUGGAUGCCAGAGCCUAGACACAGAGCACAGCCUCAUUCUUCAGCCUCCCAGGUCCUCUAACGCAGUGUGUCCAGAGCUGAGCCCGCCUAGAACUGCCUUCCUUUUCUCAGACACCUGGGAGACGUCCUAGACUCCAUCCUCUCUGUUGCCGCAAAACAUAACCAGUUGCUUCUUGAGUCUUUCUGUGAUGUGCACCUGCCUCCAUCCCAUGGCCACUGCCUCAGUGUCAAGGCCCUCAUGAACUCUCAUCUUUGUAUUUGCAAGAACCUCCCCACAAGCCCCCUCCAAGCUAUCUUCCACAGAGCAACUAAAGAAAUCUAACUAGAAUAUUAAUGGUCACAGCUUAAUACCACCAUCUCCUCCCAGCGUGCUCAGGGGUUCCCCAUGGCCUGCGGGGUUGGUCUCCCAGCUCAGGAGGCCCUUCAUAAUCAGGCCUUACUCACCUCUCUGGCUUCUUCCUGGCAACUUGGCUCCAGCUAUGCCAAAUUACCUGUGGUCCCCCAAGCACAGUAUACCCUUUCACAAUUCUGUGUCUUUACUGUGUUGUUCCUC